rnacentral:rRNA from 1 species
CCCCGAAAGCUAUUUAGGUAGCGCCUCGUGAAUUCAUCUCCGGGGGUAGAGCACUGUUUCGGCAAGGGGGUCAUCCCGACUUACCAACCCGAUGCAAACUGCGAAUACCGGAGAAUGUUAUCACGGGAGACACACGGCGGGUGCUAACGUCCGUCGUGAAGAGGGAAACAACCCAGACCGCCAGCUAAGGUCCCAAAGUCAUGGUUAAGUGGGAAACGAUGUGGGAAGGCCCAGACAGCCAGGAUGUUGGCUUAGAAGCAGCCAUCAUUUAAAGAAAGCGUAAUAGCUCACUGGUCGAGUCGGCCUGCGCGGAAGAUGUAACGGGGCUAAACCAUGCAC